rnacentral:rRNA from 1 species
CAGAAGCUGCUCGGUGCACCCUACCUUGGA